ACCUCCACCUGGAAGCCUGCCCUAGUUUCCCCAGGAGAGAUACGGCGUCACUCCUUACGCCCAGCGGUAGAGGCUUUGCGCUUAAUGAAGUGGACGCCGCCCAGCUCCAUCCAGACUGGAUUACGCGCAAGGACAAUUACCCUUCUGGCGACAGCGUCUCUCGUUUUGAAAUAUAUAUAACGCAGUGAAAAUAACUCAGCCGAUGAGGCGCUAGGUGUGGAGCGGGCGGUGACGGUGCAGUGGUGCCCGGGCCGCUUUCCCUCCGCCGGGGACGGCGUGCUCACAAGGAUCGCGCUACGACCCUGUGUGUUUUGUAAACUUGGGAGAAGCGCACGGUGUUGAUUCAGAAUAAAGGGAUGGCGUGUCUAAGUCA